rnacentral:rRNA from 1 species
GUAGGGAAUAUUGCGCAAUGGGCGAAAGCCUGACGCAGCGACGCCGCGUGAGUGAAGAAGGCCCUAUGGGUUGUAAAGCUCUGUAAUGAGGGAAGAAAAUGCCAUGUAAAGCAUGGUACUGACGGUACCUCAGAAGUAAGCACCGGCUAAACACGUGCCAGCAGCCGCGGUAAUACGUGUGGUGCAAGCGUUGUCCGGAAUGACUGGGCGUAAAGGGUGCGUAGGCGGACUUGUAUGUCAGGUGUGAAAUCCCUGGGCUUAACCUGGGAACUGCGCUUGAAACGGCAAGUCUAGAGUAUGUCAGAGGUAAGUGGAAUUCCCGGAGUAGCGGUAAAAUGCGUAGAGAUCGGGAAGAACACCGGUGGCGAAGGCGGCUUACUGGGGCAUAACUGACGCUGAGGCACGAAAGCGUGGGGAGCGAACGGGAUUAGAAACCCCUGUAGUCC